rnacentral:rRNA from 1 species
UUGAACAACUCUCAGCAACGGAUAUCUCGGCUCUUGCAUCGAUGAAGAACGCAGCGAAAUGCGAUAAGUGGUGUGAAUUGCAGGAUCCCGUGAACCAUCGAGUCUUUGAACGCAAGUUGCGCCCAAGGCCAUCAGGCCAAGGGCACGCCUGCCUGGGCAUUGCGA